GAUCAUGGCUCAGGAUGAACGCUAGCUACAGGCUUAACACAUGCAAGUCGGGGGGGCAGCGGGAUUGAAGCUUGCUUCAAUUGCCGGCGACCGGCGCACGGGUGCGUAACGCGUAUCCAACCUUCCGUACACUCAGGGAUAGCCUUUCGAAGAAAGAUUAAUACCUGAUGGUAUCUUAAGCACACAUGUAAUUAAGAUUAAAGAAUUUAUUCGGUGUACGAUGGGGAGUGCGUUCCACUUAGGUUAGG
rnacentral:rRNA from 1 species